rnacentral:rRNA from 1 species
CCCUUAGAUGUUCUGGGCCGCACGCGCGCUACACUGAUGCAUGCAACGAGUUCCUUUGAUUUGGGUUGGGAGUCUCUCCCACCUCACUUCUAUCCUUGGCCGAGAGGCCCGGGCACUCUUGUGAACCUGCAUCGUGACGGGGCUAGAUCUUUGCAAUUAUGGAUCUUCAACGAGGAAUGCCUAGUAGGCGUUGGUCAUCAGCCAGCGUCGAUUACGUCCCUGCCCUUUGUACACACCGCCCGUCGCUCCUACCGAUUGAAUGUUCCGGUGAGCUCUUCGGACUGCGCGGUCUGCAGUUUCUGCGUUCCGUGCGGAAAGUUGCGCAAACCUUAACAUUUAGAGGAAGGAGAAGUCGUAACA